UUGAACGCUGGCGGCAUGCUUUACACAUGCAAGUCGAACGGUAACAGGUUAAGCUGACGAGUGGCGAACGGGUGAGUAAUGCAUCGGAACGUGCCCGAUCGUGGGGGAUAACGCAGCGAAAGCUGCGCUAAUACCGCAUACGAUCUAUGGAUGAAAGCGGGGGACCGUAAGGCCUCGCGCGAUUGGAGCGGCCGAUAUCAGAUUAGGUAGUUGGUGGGGUAAAGGCUCACCAAGCCAACGAUCUGUAGCUGGUCUGAGAGGACGACCAGCCACACUGGGACUGAGACACGGCCCAGACUCCUACGGGAGGCAGCAGUGGGGAAUUUUGGACAAUGGGCGCAAGCCUGAUCCAGCAAUGCCGCGUGCAGGAAGAAGGCCUUCGGGUUGUAAACUGCUUUUGUACGGAACGAAACGGUCCUGGUUAAUACCUGGGGCUAAUGACGGUACCGUAAGAAUAAGCACCGGCUAACUACGU
rnacentral:rRNA from 1 species